AUGACCACACGAGGCAGCAGAGGACCGUCUGUAACAGUGAGAUAAAGACGUGGAGCCAGAACCGUGGACAGGCGACACCCUCCUGUGCGUCUCAGGUCCAGUGUCUCAGCUCUGUCUCAAAAUUGAGACACUGGGACUACGAAUCAUAGAUUCGUAGGUAGACUCCUCACUAAGCAACUGAAGAGGACGUUGUGAUGUCAUCAGUGACAUCAGAAGGGAUGAAGUAACGUCACCCUCUGCUGACUCACUGAUGGAACAAGAAGUGUCAAAAUAAAAGCAUUGAUCACAAACACUUCCUGUUCAGUAGUUUUUGUUUUGUGUGUGUGUGUGUGUGUCACCAUGACAACGGGUAAACACAGGUACAGCCUCAUUUGAUUCCAGUUGAGCAGAAAUAUGAACAUGUCAUUCAUGAUAAAAUGCUGUUCUAUGUGAUUUGAUAUUCAGAGACAAAGUGAAGAUGAGAAUAUGGAUCAAAGUGACUCAAUGUUUUCACUCGUGAUUUAAUUUCCAUGUGUAAAUAUAAACACAGUCAAAGGUCGUAAGAUCAGUGGCUACAUUCAAACAGUCACUGCCGUUCCAUUGAUGGAACAUAAUCAGUGAUGGACAGUCAUCCACAUAGUCAAAUUACAGUCACAUCUAUGUCACAGCCAUGGUAACUGACUCGGAAUUAAUAACCUUCUUUCUGAAAUGGGCCCUGGUGUGAUGUCACGUUCUGUCUCCGGACAGCCUUGUUUGUCAUGGAAACGGUAACAAAACAUGUUAAUCUCUUACUGAAACACACACACUCCGGUACGCGCUGUAACACACGUGCGACUGCUUUGAUAAAGUUGUCAGUUUUGAAUGUUCACAUGUUUGACACACUCUGUAUUGGUUGAUAAAGUUGUCAGGUUUGAAUGUUCACAUGUUUGACACACUCUGUAUGGGUUGAUAAAGUUGUCAGGAACCAGAGGGGCGGUGAUCUAUCCAGUUCUUAUAAUACAUCCAUGUUUUUUUACAGAAACAAAGUUAAUAAAAAAUAUUAAUCGAGUGAAAACGUCAAUGUUUUGUCUGUAGUGCCAUGUUCUUCCGCUGGGGGACGCAGUGUUUGUUGGAAAAAGAGGGGGCGGGGUUUUGUUGACCUUCCCCCCGGAAGUGCCUGUGCUCUGCAGCGCCUCCUCUCUUUGCUGCAGUUGCGGGAUCUUCAGUCUGAACCAAACCGUGUUUUCUUCACUCAGACGGGGGAUGAAGAGCGACGAUGUUCCGACGGUGGCGCUAAUGCACUGUAACGCUGGAUACCAACCAACCGCCGUGAAACAAGAAGAACAACCCUCGCGAGAUAUAACACGAGAUUGAGUCCACGCUCCGGUCAGACGAUACAAACCGCGGGAGAGUGACGGCACAGCUUCAGAUGUACCGAUAGACCACGAGUGUGGCGGAAAACAACACUGAUUGACCUCAGUGACACAAAGUGACCACAC